rnacentral:rRNA from 1 species
GGAAUAUUGGACAAUGGGGGCAACCCUGAUCCAGCAAUGCCGCGUGAGUGAUGAAGGCCUUAGGGUUGUAAAGCUCUUUUGCCAGGGAAGAUGAUGACGGUACCUGGAGAAUAAGCCCCGGCUAACUUCGUGCCAGCAGCCGCGGUAAUACGAAGGGGGCUAGCGUUGUUCGGAAUUACUGGGCGUAAAGGGCGCGUAGGCGGCCGAUUAAGUUAGGCGUGAAAGUCCUGGGCUCAACCUGGGGACUGCACUUAAUACUGAUUGGCUUGAAUUCGGGAGAGGAUAGCGGAAUUCCCAGUGUAGAGGUGAAAUUCGUAGAUAUUGGGAAGAACACCGGUGGCGAAGGCGGCUAUCUGGACCGACAUUGACGCUGAGGCGCGAAAGCGUGGGGAGCAAACAGG